AACGAACGCUGGCGGCAUGCCUAACACAUGCAAGUCGAACGAGACCUUCGGGUCUAGUGGCGCACGGGUGCGUAACGCGUGGGAACCUGCCCUUAGGUUCGGAAUAACCCCCCGAAAGGGGUGCUAAUACCGGAUAAUGUCUUCGGACCAAAGAUUUAUCGCCUUUGGAUGGGCCCGCGUUGGAUUAGCUAGUUGGUAGGGUAAAAGCCUACCAAGGCGACGAUCCAUAGCUGGUCUGAGAGGAUGAUCAGCCACACUGGGACUGGGACACGGCCCAGACUCCUACGGGAGGCAGCGGUGGGGAAUAUUGGACAAUGGGCGAAGGCCUGAUCCAGCAAUGCCGGGUGAGUGAUGAAGGCCUUAGGGUUGUAACGCUCUUUUACCCGGGAUGAUAAUGACAGUACCGGGAGAAUAAGCUCCGGCUAACUCCGUG
rnacentral:rRNA from 1 species